UUGGGGGACCGCCGCGCCGAGGACGAGGCCAGGGAGACCCAUGACGGGCCUGACCCCGGGGGCGCGGGGAGCCGAAGGCCCGCCAAGCCCUAGGCCCCAGCGGGGGGCAGCGGACACCGUGUUCCUCGGGGAGGACACACCGGGGACAGCGAGGACAGCGAGGCCUGAGCGCACGGACACGCCAGAGCUGGGCCCGGCCCGCAGAAGGGCCCCGCAGCUCCCGACCCGGACCCUGCGCAAUUGCACCAGGCAGGACUCGCAGAAGUCCUGGGCAGUUCUAACUGUACCCGACUCUCAGAAAUAGGGUGUCCGCUGUGUUUUCCAAGGAGGGGGCAAGAUUGAUUUCCCCCAACCUGGUAGAAAUACGAAUUCACACAAGAGACCCAAAUCUUUCCUGAAAUAAAAGGGCACGACUUCCAAGCUCUGGGCGCUCGCUGGCAAGGAUUUCCGGAGGGCCUGCCACAAACUCGCUUUGAGGCGCCAGCUGCCUAGCGCUAAUGUUCAGGCCUACCUACCUAACAGUCCAGGAAGCCCACUAUAUACCCGCAUAAUUCUGGAGCAGCCUUAUCAUAGAAGUUACCCACUCAGAAAUACGUCAAAGUGUGUAUAACCAUGUAAGGGAGACGAAGGAACUAAAGCAAAUAUAAGGCAGAGCCCCCAAGAAAUUCGGGGUUCAGCCUUUGGAUGCAAAUGCACUGAGCCAGCGCGGGUACAAGUAAGUUGCUGUGUUCCUACAAAAGCCUCCUUGUCCUGUCUCUCUCGGGUUGAAGAUCCUGCAAUAGUAGAUUCCAAUAUUAAAUACCAAGUCAGUCAAACUUCUAACGUAAUAAAAGAAAUAUAUGUGAACUCGAA